rnacentral:rRNA from 1 species
GAUGAACGCUAGCUACAGGCUUAACACAUGCAAGUCGAGGGGUAGCAGGGUAGCAAUACCGCUGACGACCGGCGCACGGGUGAGUAACACGUAUCCAACCUUCCCAUAACUCGGGGAUAGCCUUUCGAAAGAAAGAUUAAUACCCGAUAGUACUUUUUCAAGGCAUCUUGAGAAAGUUAAAGAUUUAUUGGUUAUGGAUGGGGAUGCGUUCCAUUAGAUAGUUGGUGAGGUAACGGCUCACCAAGUCUUCGAUGGAUAGGGGUUCUGAGAGGAAGGUCCCCACAUUGGUACUGAGACACGGACCAAACUCCUACGGGAGGCAGCAGUGAGGAAUAUUGGUCAAUGGGCGAGAGCCUGAACCAGCCAAGUAGCGUGAAGGAUGAAGGUCCUAUGGAUUGUAAACUUCUUUUAUAGUAGAAUAAAGUGACCUACGUGUAGGUUUUUGUAUGUAUACUAUGAAUAAGGAUCGGCUAACUCCGUGCCAGCCGCCGCCGUAAGAC